rnacentral:rRNA from 1 species
UACGGGGGGGGGCAAGCGUUGUUCGGAAUUACUGGGCGUAAAGGGCUCGUAGGCGGCCCUCUCAGUCGGAUGUGAAAUCCCCAGGCUCAACUUGGGAACGGCAUCCGAUACUGGAGGGCUUGAAUUCGGGAGAGGGAUGCAGAAUUCCAGGUGUAGCGGUGAAAUGCGUAGAUAUCUGGAGGAACACCGGUGGCGAAGGCGGCAUCCUGGACCGGCAUUGACGCUGAGGAGCGAAAGCGUGGGGAGCGAACAGG